CGAGAAACAAAUAACUUGUUCAACAUCGUCCGCGAAAACCUUCUCAAUGCAUACAAAAGAUAUAGUAGUUCGUAUAACUUGCGAGCUAACACCAAACAUCACUUUGCGGUGGGAGACACUGUGUAUAAAAAGGAAAUGCACCUGUCCAAUAAACAGAAAAACUUUGUUGGCAAAUUUGGAAACAAAUUUAGCAAAGUUCGAGUACGAGAAGUGCUCGGCACUAACACUUAUGUAGUAGAGGAUCUCAAUGGGAAAAGGAUACCAGGCAGUUAUCAUGGAUCCUUCUUAAAACGCGCCUAAACCACACCAGCUAUGACGGUGCAUCCGCCGAUGCACAUAAACAAGCCAACAAUAACAAAAUACUCGAAGAGGUGUCUGGCAGAAUCCAACGUCGAGAUGUCACAUAGUGUUUCCUCCGUUGUUGAUGAUAGUUUAUAAAAUUAGCAUUGUUUAAUUAGUCAGUUUUGUUAAAAUAUUAUCGUAGAUUGGUUGAAUGGGGGAUCGUUGCAUAGUCCUUUUCACACACCACCGCCGAACGUUAACACUUUGAUCCCAUAGUAAACAUACCUUUCGCAGUCGAUAAUCCACUCCACUAGUUCCUUAAAUGUCGAGGCGCUUGAAAUGGGACGCGCAGUAAACUUUUCACCAUAAUUUCUCUUAAUAAGCCAUAGUUUUCUUUAAUAUUCUUGCGCCACAUUUUAGUUUUCACUUUCACUUUCGUUUUACAAUAGCCCGGUUAUCAUUGCAGUAGUUUGACAGUUUCAUUUGACAGAUCCGUUUGACAGCAGUAGUAUCAAGCAACUCCCAGCAUAGCAAUACAUUCCAUUAAACCCAAAGUAAACAAUAUGUUGUGGCAACAAUAAUAUUUAAUUCACAGUGAAUGCUCAGAUAAGAGUUUUAGAUUGUUUUGAUUAGAGGCUCAGAUAUUUCUGGGGUUUAUUAAGAUUGUAUUUGAAUUGUUUUGGUUCUCAGACAUUUCUGAGGUGAAAUUAGAAUUCAUUGGAAAUAGUACUUUUCUCAGACGUUUCUGAGGUAAAUUGUAUCGAUUCGAAGAAUUUGUAAAUCUGCUCAGACAUUUCUGAGGUCAAUUGAAGUAAGAAAGUUAAUGUAAGAAAUUCAAGUAGAAAAAAAAAAUGCCACAGCACAAUGAAAAAUAGUUCUCAUUCAAUAGUAUAGUCUGCAAACCAGAUACUUCGUUCAAUCAAUCAUGUGUAAGUCUGUAAUAAUAAAUUAGAUGUCGGAUUUAGGAAUAAAUUGAAGAAUAAAAAUUUCAAAAUUUCAUUUCAUAAUUUUUAUUUUGUUAGGAUGGGCGAGAAUGUAAGAACAUUGUGAACCCAACUUAAAGCGUUUGUCGUUUAAUUUAUGUUUCGCGUAUUUUGCUGUCUGAUUUCGUGCUGUGUAUUGCUCAAUGUAAGUUUCCAUUUAUCCUGACGUGACGAUGCAGUCAGUGGAUUUGAAAGUCUAGCAAAGACAGUAACCUAUAUUAGCCACCUAUGUGUCAAGAACUGAAGUAGCACAGAAGGAUUAGAAAUUUGAAUUUAUUGCGUCGUUCAUGAUCUAAUGCGUCGUUGUAAAACAGCCAGAUUUGAUUGUAAUUUACAACAAUAGUUCGUAUUACGUCGUAAAUUAAACUCUCUGUAACCGACCAAUAAGAGGGAAACACGUAGCCACGACUAGGCUGAAGCCAAUCUAACUCGCGUCGGUUUCCUCAUUAUAGUGGAGUGCUUACUAGAGUUCAGUUGAAAACUUACCGUCUUUUUUAAAAAGUGAAUUUGAACGACGCCAUACUAAACUCGGAUUUAUAUAUUUAUCGAGUGUGAUUCAGUUUAAGACUGAAAUUGUUGCGAACCUAGUUAAUAUUUUCGACUUUGAAUUCAGGACAAAAGCCCGUUCUCGUGGGCGGUUUGUGCGGAGUUGGUGCACUGUUCGAAGCACGUGGUACCAAACGUCGUGACCGUUGGGUCCGACAUCUAUAAGACGUCGAGUGAACCGUCGUUGGAAAGCCACGUCUGCGACGCCGUCGACGCGUUGGUUUCACCGAAAGCUCAGUGGGCGUCGUUUCGUCGAUAAGAUACACGGAUACACCCGUCCCAGAGCCGCAUCGAACCACAACGUAACUUGCACGUGGUAGGCGUUACGACUCGCAAGUAAAUAAGCCGCGUGGCGUUUGCCGAGCAAUAUUAACGGCAAUCACUCCACUGUGCUAGGGGAUAUUUGUACCCCGAAACUCAACGCCAGCGCGCGAGUCAACUGGGUGGUAUGAAAGCUUUUCCUUGGUAUCGACAACGGCGACGCAAAGCAAGGUGAGUUGCGUCCAGCCUACUUUCGCUUGUGGCAUCCACGAAAGCUCGAAUUCGACUGCAGAUUGCAUCCGACGUGGGAACGCCGGCAUUGAGAAGAAGCUAAGGUCAGAUCUGUCCAUCUUGAAGCUCGAAUUUCAGUUACCUACAAACGAAACAGAAAUUAUUAGCAGUUUUGCAUUUUGAACGUGACGUCACACACGGUUAGGGAAUUAGGCUUUCCUUAAUUUAAAAAUUUCAAUAAACUUUUCGCAUCGAAUUGAGGACCAUUCGAUAAAAUAAUCUUGUUUUAGGAUACGCGACCGCGUAUUGGUUAUUUUGAAUAAAAUUACUCCUAGUUUAGAACCACACACUUCACUUUUCUUUCGUCACGUCAUUUUGAAAAGAUUUUAGGUUGGCUAAGGUUUAUUAAAGGCUAAGUAUUCCCCUGCCUGAUUGAUUAUCGAGGGUUUUGUAAAUAUAAUCUUAAAUUUAGUUCGUAGAUAAUGUCGGUAAGGUUGAGUCUGGUUGGUUUUUGAUGACUUUGUUUGGUGUGUUGAAGUGCAACUUCGGUUCUUGCGUGACUUUGACCUGCCCUGAGUCGGCAGUCUCAUCCGGGUAAAUUUAAGCAGAGCUAACGGUCCUUCUUAUUGAAGGUGGCGCUUAAGCCGUCAGCUUAAGAAAGCCGGACAGAACGUUACAAGGACACGCAGCUAACCUCGAGGGUGCGUUGUGCACUGGCCCCCCUUUGAAGCAUUACUUUCUGGUUGUACCGAAGGGACUAUGGGCUUGGCGGCAAUGGAAACGGUUUAGCGGGUCGGGGAUGUAGUCCUGCCUCUCUCGGUGAUCCCUAACCCCGCACUUCCUGUUCAACCCAGGAUGUCUGUUGAGCAGAUUCCUCCUCCAUUGUUUAGGAAGAGAAAAAAAAAGUAUGACUUACUAUGGUUUAUUUUGAAUGAGCGCGAGUGGUGCUCGCAUAAAAAAGCUCAGUACGACUUAGUGUGGUUUAUUUUGAAUGAGCGCGAGUGGUGCUCGCAUAAAGUGCUCAGUGCGACUUAUUGUUGCUGAUGUUCGUAAAAAGCGCGAGUGGUGCUCGCAUAAAAAAGCUCAGUACGACUUACUAUGGUUUAUUUUUUGAAUGAGCGCGAGUGGUGCUCGCAUAAAGUGCUCAGUGCGACUUAUUGUUGCUGAUGUUCGUAAAGAGCGCGACUGGUGCUCGCAUAAAAGAGCUCAGUACGACUUACAAUGGUUUAUUUUGAAUGAGCGCGAGUGGUGCUCGCAUAAAGUGCUCAGUGCGACUAAUUGUUGCUGAUGUUCGUAAAGACCCGGAUAAAAAAUACAAUAGAGUUGCAAUAAAAUAUCAUAAAAUCACAAUAAGUUUUAUUUAUGAACAUUAAAUUCUAUUGUUUUUAUAUCAUACCAAUUAAAGUGCCAUAUUGUUGUUCCAAUAGAUGUACAAUAGACUCAAUUGCCAGUUAAAAGUUGGCAAUAGAAUCACAAUAAAUUCAAUUGUAAUGGCAAAAAUUCGUCGGAGAAAUUUUUUUUUUUUUAUUGUAAAGAUACAUAACAACCCCUUAUUUUCUAUUGUUAAACUGCCAUUUACAAUAGCCGUUAUGGUGGAAAACAAUAUUCUUCUAUGUUAUUCUAUUGUGUGCCACAAUAGAGUUUACCGUAAUUACUAUUAGUUUCAGCGUAAUGUUACAAUAAUUUCUAUUGUAAUUUUUUUGGAUUUUUUUAUUAGGGGAGCGCGAGUGGUGCUCGCAUAAAAAAAAGCUCAGUAUGACUUACUAUGGUUUAUUUUUCGAGUGAGCGCGAGUGGUGCUCGCAUAAAGUGCUCAGUGCGACUUAGUGUUGCUGAUGUUCGCGAUGAUGAAGCGCAAGUGGUGAUCGCAUUAAAAAAGCUCAGUACGACUUAGUAUGGUUUAUUUUUUUAAUGAGCGCAAGUGGUGCUCGCAAAAAGAGAUCAGUGCGACUUAGUAUUGUUAAUAAUUAUUGUAUGAGCGCAAGUGGUGCUCGCAUAAAGUGCUUAGUGUGAGUGAAUGCUGUGUAUAUUUAUUUAAGGGCGAGUGAUGUUCGCAUAAAGUGUUGCAGUUAUGAAGUAAGUAUAGAAUUACAUUUUGUGCGUAAGACACGGUCAGUUGUAUUGUAACAAAAAUGGCGCUUGAAAUACUUACAACACAGUAUUUAUAUACUUUAAUUCAAAACUAACUUUCAUCGAUCAUUAUAACUUAAUUGUUAGCAAAUCCAACAACAUGUUAGGUUUUAUAAAACGAUUCUGUUACAAUUUCCAGGACCCAUACACAAUAAAAACACUAUAUACAGCUUAUGUAAGGCCAAUCUUAGAAUAUUGCAGCAUAGUUUGGUCCCCAUUUUCAGUUAUUCAUGCCAACAGAAUUGAGUCAGUUCAAAAACAAUUUUUAUUAUAUGCACUACGAAAGUUAGGGUGGACCGAAUUUCCAUUGCCACCAUAUGUAGCCCGUUGUAAGCUCAUCAAUAUUCAUUCACUGAAAGUGCGUCGAGAUUUAGCAAUGGUAACUUUUAUAAACAAUAUUGUUUCAAACAGAAUUG